rnacentral:rRNA from 1 species
AAGUUCAGGUAAACACCUAUAAGAAGCGUCUGUUAACACAAACACAGGAUACUGCUAAUAUAGAUAUAUAUGUAUAGUCUCCGAUAGCUGUUCAGUGGAAUAAUCUUAACAACGAUCUUAAUGAUCAUAAUGUAGUACAUAGUUGAUUAAAUGUCAACUAGUAUAAUGCUAUUACGACUUCUUAAUUGUCUUUACUACAUAUUCUAUGAAAUAGAACUUGUCUUGAAUAUGAGACAUAGCUAUCGUGGGACGGAUAGACCCUAAGCACCUUUGCUUUUCUAUAUGACAUA